rnacentral:tRNA from 1 species
GUACUUGUAGCAAAGUUGGUAAUGCACUCGACUUCUAAUAGAGGGUAUGGGUUCAACCACUUCCAAGUAUACUA